rnacentral:misc_RNA from 1 species
UUUCCGUAGGUGAACCUGCGGAAGGAUCAUUAAAGUUAUAGUCCCCCGGCCCUCUGGGCUGGGGUCUUCUAUACCACCCUUUGUUUAUUACACCUUUGUUGCUUUGGCAGGCCUGCCCUCGGGCUGCUGGCUCCGGCCGGCUCGCGUCUGCCAGAGGACCUAAACUCUGUUUGUAUAUGAAGUCUGAGUACUAUAUAAUAGUUAAAACUUUGAACAACGGAUCUCUUGGUUCUG